rnacentral:rRNA from 1 species
GAUGAACGCUGACGGCGUGCCUAAUACAUGCAAGUCGAGCGAACGGACGAGAAGCUUGCUUCUCUGAUGUUAGCGGCGGACGGGUGAGUAACACGUGGAUAACCUACCUAUAAGACUGGGAUAACUUCGGGAAACCGGAGCUAAUACCGGAUAAUAUUUUGAACCGCAUGGUUCAAAAGUGAAAGACGGUCUUGCUGUCACUUAUAGAUGGAUCCGCGCUGCAUUAGCUAGUUGGUAAGGUAACGGCUUACCAAGGCAACGAUGCAUAGCCGACCUGAGAGGGUGAUCGGCCACACUGGAACUGAGACACGGUCCAGACUCCUACGGGGGGCAGCAGUAGGGAAUCUUCCGCAAUGGGCGAAAGCCUGACGGAGCAACGCCGCGUGAGUGAUGAAGGUCUUCGGAUCGUAAAACUCUGUUAUUAGGGAAGAACAUAUGUGUAAGUAACUGUGCACAUCUUGACGGUACCUAAUCAGAAAACCACGGCUAACUACGU